AAGUCGUAACAAGGUCUCCGUUGGUGAACCAGCGGAGGGAUCAUUACAGAGUUAUACAACUCCCAUACCAUUUGUAAACUUUACUCAGUUAUGCCUCGGCGUGAACUGCGUACGGAGGCAGGGUGGUGUUACCCGGUAGCUUACCCUGUAGGUUACCCUGUAGCGCUACCCUGUAUCAACUCCCGCGCAGCCCGCCGGUGGUACACUAAACUCUUGUUUUAUUUUAUAUUCUGAGCGUAUUAUUUUAAUAAUUAAAACUUUCAACAACGGAUCUCUUGGUUCUG
rnacentral:misc_RNA from 1 species